rnacentral:rRNA from 1 species
GAUGAACGCUAGCGAUAGGCUUAACACAUGCAAGUCGAGGGGCAGCAUGGUCUUAGCUUGCUAAGACUGAUGGCGACCGGCGCACGGGUGCGUAACGCGUAUGCAACUUGCCUCACAGAGGGGGAUAACCCGUCGAAAGACGGACUAAUACCGCGUACACUCUAUUUUGGGCAUCCAAGGUAGAGGAAAUGAAAUUCGCUGUGAGAUAGGCAUGCGUCCCAUUAGCUAGUUGGUGAGGUAACGGCUCACCAAGGCGACGAUAGGUAGGGGAACUGAGAGGUUGAACCCCCACACUGGUACUGAGACACGGACCAGACUCCUACGGGAGGCAGCAGUGAGGAAUAUUGGUCAAUGGGCGAGAGCCUGAACCAGCCAAGUCGCGUGAAGGAUGACUGUCUUAUGGAUUGUAAACUUCUUUUGUAGGGGAAUAAAGAGGGGCACGUGUGCCCCAGUGAAUGUACCCUACGAAUAAGCAUCGGCUAACUCCGUG